GUAGUAGCUCAGUCGUACAGCAUCUGCUUCACAUGCAAAAGCUCCUGGGUUUGAUCCCCAGCAUCAUCU